UCCAGCCAAAAGACUAUCUUGACUGAAGACUUGGGGGACUACUGUUUAUACCAUACUUAGGGCCUCCGUAUUUAGAUCUCGUAUAAAUACUUAGGGGACUCAAAUGUAAUUAUGUAAUAAAGGAAGGGGCAAAUAUGUAAUAAGUGAUGAGUCCUUAUUCUAUAAAUGGACCUCUCAUUCUUCUUAUUACAGAGGCCAAUUCUUAAGCCAUCUCACCCUCACAAAGCUCAUCUCUCUCAAGCUCUCAUGCUCACAAACAGAGAGCCAUCUCAAACUAUCUCUUUCUCUUGAGGAAUCCCCCUCACCCUU
rnacentral:lncRNA from 1 species